GGAGAAGUAUCGAAGUGGUCAUAACGAGCUCGACUCGAAAUCGAGUUGCCUUUAACCGGGCACGUGGGUUCGAAUCCCACCUUCUCCGCCA
rnacentral:tRNA from 1 species